GCCGGGGGAUGCAAUCGUUAUCCGGAAUCACUGGGCGUAAAGCGUCCGUAGGUGGUGAUGCAAGUCACUGGUGCAAAACUCUGGCUCAACCGGAGGAAAGCCAGUGAAACUGCAUGACUAGAGUGUGGGAGAGGUAGAAGGAAUUCCCUGAGUAGCGGUGAAAUGCGUAGAUACAGGGAAGAACACCGGAGGCGAAAGCGUUCUACUGGAACACAACUGACACUGAGAGACGAAAGCUAGGGGAGCGCAUGGG
rnacentral:rRNA from 1 species